ACAGGAUUUGUUAAAAUGGACUUAACAAAAUUAUAUAAUAGUAUAUCAAGUACUGUGGAUAAUGAAGAAAAUGACGAUGACAUUGAAAAUGAAAAUCAAUUGAGUAAAAAACGUGAAGAUAGUGAUGAAACAGGUGAUGAAAAAAGUGACGAAAAAAGUGGAGAAACAAAACAGAGUGAAGAGAAGAGGAUAACAAAUGUAAAAACUAAAAAAAAUGUUUCAACUAGUUCGAUAAAAAAAAAGUGUAUCUUUUAGUUCUUUUAGUUCAGAGGAUGGACAAUCUGUUUCUGUUGAAAACCAAACGAAUAAAAAAGCAUCAAGAGGUGUUAGAACAAGGAAACCAACAGGAUUUGUUAAAGCUGAUAUGAGUAAAUUUUUACAAAGUAUAGGAAGUUAUGAUGACGACGAUGAUGAUGAUGAUGAUGAUAAUAAUAACACUAAUAAAAAAAAAUAAAGAAACUGAUGAUGGUGAUGAUUCAGAAGAUAUGAAUAUAUCAUUCAAAAAUGAAGAUAUUUCAACAAUAAGAAAAAAAAGUGUAUCUUUUAGUUCGGAAGAAGAACAUUUUUAUGUCGAAAAAGAUGGUACACACGGUAUGCGUAAAUUGCAAAACAAAAAUAAAAAAAAAGUAGGAUUUACAAGCAUAAGUAGUGAUAAUAGUGAGAAUAUGGAAGCACAUGAUAAAGAAAAUAAAACAAUAACGGAUGUAUAUAAAGAAAAAAAAAAAAAAAAAGGUAUAACUUUUAGUAAAAAUGUCGAAGAAGAUACUGAGAAUGAACCAUUUACAGAUAGUGAUACAAAUAUGCAAAAGGAAACACAUCACAGCGAAACAGAUACAGAUACAGAAAACAAAGAAGAUAAGCUUAGUAAAACGGAUUCGGAAAACGAAAGUGAUUUAGAUACUGAAACAGAUACGGAAACAAAAAAGAUAAAUCAGAUGAUGAAUCUGGUGGGGAAUAUAUUAGUAGCGGAAAUAACAGUUCUAAUAAUAAAAGUGGAAAUAAAAAAAAAUGGAAAUUAUGAAAAUUAUGAAUGUGGUAAUAAUGAUACAGAAACUAAUAAUGAUGAUAAAUAUGACAAUAAAAAUAUGGCGAGGGGAAAUAAAAAUAAUUAUAAUAAACAAAGUGAAAUAAAAAAAUAAUAUACAUUUAUUGAGAGGAGCAAGAACAAAAAAAAAACGAAUGAAAAAAAAAUAUAAAAACCAAGUGGUAGAUGAGCAGGAAAGACAACUUCAUAUGAAAAUAAUUGGAUCUAAAAAGGUUUGAAAAAAAAAAAAAAAGACGAAACUAUGUGCAUAUUGUUACAUGACUAUAUAUGGAAUAUACCUAUUUGUGCUCAUGUGUUUGUAUCUGUUAUAUACGUUUUGAUAUAAUUCAGAGAACCACUUAUAUAUGCAUAUGCACAUAUGCACAUAUGCACAUAUAUAUAUAUAUAUAUAUAUACUCCUUUUUUUUUUAGAUGAAACACGAAGAUAAGAUAUUAGAAAAGGAAGAACAAAAUAAGAAUGGACCAGAGACAAAUAACAAAUUUAAGAAUCCCAAGACAGUUCUUAUUAAUUUGGAAGAAAUAAAUGAAGAUGAAAUGGAUGUUAGUAAUUAUAA
ensembl:lncRNA